rnacentral:lncRNA from 1 species
UCCUGAGCCUUUUCAAUACUCUUUCUGCCAUGCUACAGAUGCCUCUCUUCCCAUCGAGCCAAGACUUGAAGAUGGCCCCCGCCUGUGAAACAUCUGGAUAAGCACAUUCUACAGGAAUAGUCACCUGCCCCUGAUUUGCAAAUGGAUAUGAGAUCAUGUGGGCAUAGGGCACAUUGAAUUAUUGGUGUUUAUUCCGUGCCUUUCUACUGUGCUAUAAAAUAUUCCAAAACGUUGCCACAACACAAGGAGACCUUUCUCUUGAAGAAAGAAUAAGAGGUAAGGUUGGGCUUCCUCCCUUUUUCCACUCACUACACAUGUAUUUGACAUUUCUAUGCCAUAGACCUUAUGAAUAUGUGAUGUCAGCUCUAAUCAUAUGCUCUUUAUUAUACAGAAGCAUACUUCUAAUUAAAUUGCAGUCGGGUUAGAGUGUUUUAGAAUACAGCUGCCUAAAAAUAUCUGAGGCAUCUGAGGAAAACCACGAGGUUAUCAUUUAAAAGGAGGGGAGCUGAGAAAUGCUCUCCAUCUUUUAGCUAACAUUCCAAUGCACGAAUUCAUAAAACUCACUGAUUUUGUAUUUAUUAAUUUAUUUUUGGUGUUCCAUUUUAAUCCUUAGAGUCUCUGGUAACUCAUGGAAGCCAACAUUUGAGGGGAGUGUAGAAGGGCCACUCUGUAGCAAUUGGAAUGAGUACUCCUAUUAAUUUUUCUUACCCAUCUCAGUUCCUUCAUAGGGUGGCAAAUGACUCAAAGGAUUAUAUGGUAAUCUAAGUGUCUGUAGGAAGGAGGGGAAAAGGAAACCCAUACACAAGACAUAAAAGCCAAAGAAGACGCAUUAAGGAGCACUCUUCAAAGCCAACUGGAGAUGAGAGUUGGGUGCUGUAGGCUUCCAAGUCAGCAGCCAGAUUGGGGUGGUAAUAUGGGCAAUCGGGUGAUACGGCAGGUCCAACCAAUGGAUUCCCAGGUUUUCCUUUUUUAUAUAUGAAAAAAUCCCAUCUCUCAUGUGCAGCAGAGACACACUCUCC